UACGAGGGGGGCAAGCGUUGUUCGGAAUUAUUGGGCGUAAAGGGUGCGUAGGCGGUUUUGUAAGUCUUGUGUGAAAUCUUCAGGCUCAACUUGAAGACUGCACGAGAAACUGCAGGGCUUGAGUGUGGGAGAGGUGAGUGGAAUUCCUGGUGUAGCGGUGAAAUGCGUAGAUAUCAGGAGAAACACCUGUGGCGAAAGCGGCUCACUGGACCACAACUGACGCUGAUGCACGAAAGCGUGGGGAGCGAACAGG
rnacentral:rRNA from 1 species